rnacentral:rRNA from 1 species
CGAAGGAUGCAAGCGUUAUCCGGAUUCAUUGGGUUUAAAGGGAGCGUAGGUGGACUGAUAAGUCAGUGGUGAAAUCUUUGGGCUUAACCCAAAAAUUGCCAUUGAUACUGUUGGUCUUGAGUACAGUUGCUGUGGGCGGAAUAUGACAUGUAGUGGUGAAAUACAUAGAGAUGUCAUAGAACACCGAUUGCGAAGGCAGCUCACAAAGCUGUAACUGACACUGAGGCUCGAAAGUGCGGGGAUCAAACAGGAUUAGAUACCCUGGUAGUCCGCACUGUAAACGAUGAUUACUCGCUGCUAGAGGGCAACCUUUAGUGGCUUAGCGAAAGCGAUAAGUAAUCCACCUGGGGAGUACGCCGGCAACGGUG